UACGGGGGGGGCAAGCGUUGUUCGGAAUUACUGGGCGUAAAGGGCUCGUAGGCGGCCAACUAAGUCCGACGUGAAAUCCCCAGGCUUAACCUGGGAACUGCGUCGGAUACUGGAUGGCUUGAAUUCGGGAGAGGGAUGCAGAAUUCCAGGUGUAGCGGUGAAAUGCGUAGAUAUCUGGAGGAACACCGGUGGCGAAGGCGGCAUUCUGGACCAACACUGACACUGAUGAGCGAAAGCCAGGGGAGCAAACGGG
rnacentral:rRNA from 1 species